rnacentral:lncRNA from 1 species
UUGGGAUUGCCCUAAGACCCAAGCUUUUCUUUUUUUCAUUUUAGUUCUGUUUGUUUAUAUGUGCCUCUGUCCUCCUGCUUUUCUGCACCCACUGCUUGUCAUGGCUCUGCUGGUCUCAGAGGAACUAAUUGGCCAUGGCAUUUCCUGCCUUAGUCAUCAGGCAUUUACUUCUUAGUUCUUCACAGCCUCCUGGCAGGAACUGGGAAGGUAAAUCUUCGAUUCUAAGCACCGCCCUGAGAACUCAUAGGUUAAAGUCUUGGAUACCAGCUGAUGAGACUCCCACUUCACCACUGGAUUCACCCAUUGGUGCUUUCAGAAUAUUUCCUUGAUGCUGCCUCUCCAGGAUGGGAUAUAAGGGAAUGUCCAAGCAUUUCCAAAGAAGCAAAGCUUUCUGUGCAUGGUAUCUUUCAUUUUAAGGAUACAGGAGGAGUCUUGAGUUUUGUAAGUAACAAUUUG